GAUGAACGCUGGCGGCGUGCUUAACACGUGCAAGUCGAACGAAGCAUUUGCGACAGAUUUUUUCGGAAUGAAGUUGCUUAUGACUGAGUGGCGGACGGGUGAGUAACGCGUGGGUAACCUGCCUUGUACUGGGGGAUAGCAGCUGGAAACGGCUGGUAAUACCGCAUAAGCGCACAAUGUUGCAUGACAUGGUGUGAAAAACUCCGGUGGUAUAAGAUGGACCCGCGUCUGAUUAGCUAGUUGGUGAGAUAACAGCCCACCAAGGCGACGAUCAGUAGCCGACCUGAGAGGGUGGCCGGCCACAUUGGGACUGAGACACGGCCCAGACUCCUACGGGAGGCAGCAGUGGGGAAUAUUGCACAAUGGAGGAAACUCUGAUGCAGCGACGCCGCGUGAGUGAAGAAGUAAUUCGUUAUGUAAAGCUCUAUCAGCAGGGAAGAUAGUGACGGUACCUGACUAAGAAGCUCCGGCUAAAUACGUG
rnacentral:rRNA from 1 species